CCUGAACAGAAAUUAUACUAACGAACUAACUUAUCUUAUUAUUUGAUAAAUAAUAAGCUAACCACUUUAUCUGUUUACAAACAAUUAAGAAUUCAAAAUUUCAAAUUACAAAUUGACAGAAGUAGCGUUUUGUUAUAGCUAAGACAGUGUAUUAUCUAUAGCUAAGACCUUAUACCGAAAUGUAUUUAUAUUGUUAGAUUUUGAUGAAAUGUUGAUGAAUAUUUAAGAUUACACAUUAAUUUUAACUGUAUGUUUAAAAAAUACUUUACGUAAUCAAUUUAAUAAGGUAAAAUUGAAAUGUACAAUUUCUUUUAUUAAGUUUUAUAAUUAUUAUCUGUAGUUUUACUUUGAAAUAACAAAACGGAAGCUUAGAUGUGGCUAUAAAAUAAAUUCUCCCAUUAUUAAAGACAUAGAGUGUUUGUUUAUAAGCAGUCAAGCAGAGUAUUAAGAAUACAAGAUUAAAAGGGUAGUGGACAUAUAACAAAUAUAUAAACAAAUAGCUGGCGCCACGCGGUUUUACCCGCGUGGUUUCCGUUCCUGUAGGAAUAUGGGGAUAAUAUAUAGCCUAUAGCCUUCCGCAAUAAAUGGGCUAAUACUGAAAAAAAAAUUUAAAUCGGACCAGUAGUUCCUGAGAUUAGCGCGUUCAUACAUAGAUAAUAAUUGUUGGAGCCCAAAGGAUUAGCAAACUGAAGUGGCAGUGGGCGGGCCAUAUCUGUCGUAGAUAUGGCCUACUUGCAGUCAGCUUUCUUCUGCUACUGAUUUCAAAGGCGAUCUGCAAACCUGCUCAAGAAUACAAGGCCUCGCUCCAGGCGAUGCCCCCAGGAAUCUCCAUCAUGCCCAUUAACAUACCUCUAAGCUCUAACAAUCCAAUCCUAGCAAAUUCGUUAUUUGAAGAUGUGUUAGUUCUAGAUGAAUCCGACACGAAGAAGAGGAUCCAGCGGUACAGAGAUACAGAAGACACGAUUGAUUUAAAUAAUU